AUUGAACGCUGGCGGCAGGCCUAACACAUGCAAGUCGAGCGAGCGGCGGACGGGUGAGUAAUGUAUGGGGACUGCCCGAUAGCGGGGGAUAACUACUGGAAACGGUGGCUAAUACCGCAUACUAUCGGAUAACCCAUAUGGGAUUAGCUAGUAGGCGUGGUAAAGGCUCACCGAGGCGACGAUGUCUAGCUGGUCUGAGAGGAUGAUCAGCCGCACUGGGACUGAGACAAGGCCCAGACGCCCAGAGGGGCAGCAGAGGGGAAUAUUGCACAAUUGGCGAAAGCCUGAUGCAGCCAUGCCGCGUGUAUGAAGAAGGCCUUAGGGUUGUAAAGUACUUUCAGCGGGGAGGCGUUACCCGCAGAAGAAGCACCGGCUAACUCCGUGCCAGCAGCCGCGGUAAUUC
rnacentral:rRNA from 1 species